GACGAACGCUGGCGGUGUGCUUAACACAUGCAAGUCGAACGGUAAGGCCCUUUCGGGGGUACACGAGUGGCGAACGGGUGAGUAACACGUGAGUAACCUGCCCUCAUCUCUGGGAUAACAGUCGGAAACGGUUGCUAAUACUGGAUAUGAGCCUGCAAGGCAUCUUGUGGGUUGGGAAGAUUUUUUGGUUGGGGAUGGACUCGCGGCCUAUCAGCUUGUUGGUGAGGUAGUGGCUCACCAAGGCUUCGACGGGUAGCCGGCCUGAGAGGGCGACCGGCAACAUUGGGACUGAGAUACGGCCCAAACUCCUACGGGAGGCAGCAGUGGGGAAUAUUGCACAAUGGACGGAAGUCUGAUGCAGCAACGCCGCGUGCGGGAUGACGGCCUUCGGGUUGUAAACCGCUUUCAAUUGUGACGAAGCUUUUUGUGACGGUAGCAGUAGAAGAAGCACCGGCUAACUACGUG
rnacentral:rRNA from 1 species